rnacentral:lncRNA from 1 species
CAUUUCAUUGACAAGUCCUGCGGCGCAGCCAGUGUCAGGGGAGGUGAUGUGCUUGGGGCAGGCAGGAGCAGACUGCUUGUGAAGAGCCCUAGGAACUGCCGCAUGCAGCUAAAGAUUCAUUCUCAGGCAAUAGGAAACUAUUGGAGUAUCUCAGGCAGUGAUAGGCGUGAUUUGGUUCAGGUUUUCACAAGAUACUCAGCAUGCGGAGUGGCGGCUACGGGGAAAAUAUGACGGUGGUGGAGGCCAGGAGGCAGGGAGGCUGCUGGAAGCCUCAGAUGAAGCAGAAACUGGAAAGCGGCUCAGAUCAGACUCAUGCAGUGGCCAGGCCUGAGGGAAAAUUGGCGUCAUCCUCAGGGGUUAUGGCUCAUCACCCUAACAGGGCAGAGGGUGGCCUCAGGCACCCAGCUCUGCAGCUCGGCCAGACACGGGGCAGGCGGCCUUCACCCGGGCCCCACCCUGAGUUCACACGUACGAGAAGGGGGCCUGGGGAGGACGCGGAGCUGCUGCGGGCGUGUGCGCACUGUCACGUAUAUUAAUAGAGUUGAUGUGAAACUGCACUGAAAAAGGAACAACAAAAUGACUCAGUUGCAAAAUUCUUGCAUCAGCUGGUGAGGAGUUGGCCUCGGUCAGCAUCGGAUAUCACUGGAAAUGUCUCAGAUUGAUCACGGGUCCCGGUGAAAAUGUAUACACUCGCCCACCAUGGUGGAUAGGCCUAGAGGCCACCAAGGGUGGAACCCCAGCUCCGGCUGCAGUGAGGGCGCCCGACACCAACACAUGGAGGGAUGAGUCCCUGGGGAGUUUGGCCUGCAGGAUGCCUGGAGGUUGGGACAGAAAGUGAAUUCCUACCAACAACCUCAGUGAGCUUUCUGGGGGUCUCUCAGGCUCAAUGAGCUUUCUGGGGGUCUCUAGACCCCACCUCCCUUUGCUAAGACUCUCCAUCUGAACACACAUCUCUCAACAGAACUUUCAGAAGCAGAGGGGACUUCUCUCUGCAGUGCCCCCAACCUGGAGCAUGGCCAGCCCUGGUAGGAAGGCUUCUGGAGGCCUCUGAGCCAGGUGGAAUAUUCUGCUGAUGCCUGUGAGUGGAGCAGUUCUUCCCCACGCCGAGGAAAAUCCUGUUUACUGGAAUGAAUUCUAUUCUUCGGACUACCCAGAAUGUUCAAACCUCUCUUUUCAAAGAAAAAUGUCCUAAUUGGGAUGCCUGGGUGGCUCAGUGGUUGAACGCCUGCCUUCCGCUCAGGGUGUGAUCUCGGGAUCUGGGAUCAAGUCCCACAUCGGGCUCCCUGCGAGGAGCCUGCAUCUCCCUUCCUCUGCCUAUGUUUCUG